rnacentral:rRNA from 1 species
UACGUAGGAUGCAAGCGUUGUCCGGAAUUAUUGGGCGUAAAGAGCGCGCAGGCGGUAUGACAAGUCAGAUGUGAAAGAGGCCGGCUUAACCGGCAAGGGUCAUUUGAAACUGUCAGACUAGAGUGCAGCAGAGGAUAGUGGAAUUCCCGGUGUAGUGGUGAAAUGCGUAGAUAUCGGGAGGAACACCAGUGGCGAAGGCAGCUCGCUGGGACGGUACUGACGCUGAGACGCGAAAGCGUGGGGAGCGAACAGG